rnacentral:rRNA from 1 species
AGUAUUUCUGAUUGUCUCAUGGAAGCUGCAACAUUUCAAAUGCCUUAUGCACUUAGGAGGCUUUUUGCUACAGUUUUGGCCUUCUGUGAGGUAACACAUGUUCGUGCAUUGUGGGACAAGCACUUUGAAGCCAUGUCUGAUGAUUUUCGUAGGGAGAGCAUAAGUAAUGAAGCAAUUGAGCAGAUGGUGCUUAGAGAUAUUGGAGAUUUUCUAUACUCUAUGGGUAAGGACAUCCAGAGCUUUGAUCUUCCUGAUCUAAUGGAUGCCGGUGAUUUGGAAAGCUUAGAGUAGAGAGAAUUAACUGAAGAGAUGUAUAUUUUAGUUGAUAAAGAAGACUUACAAUUGUGUGAAACUUUGUACAAUGAACAACACCUUGCUUUUGAUGACAUAAUGAACCAUGUUAUACAAAAGAAGGGUAAGGUCUUCUUCAUUGAUGGUCCAGGAGGCACAGGGAAGACAUACCUUUAUAAAGCCUUGCUGGCUAAAGUGCGGUCCAUGGGACUAAUAGCCAUCGCAACAGCAACAUCAGGCAUUGCGGUUUGUAUUAUGCCUGGUGGCAGGACUGCCCAUUCCAGAUUUAAAAUACCAAUAAAUAUUCAAGAAGACACUAUGUGUAACUUCACUAAGAAGAGUGGAACAGCAGAAUUACUUCGAAGAUCAUCUUUGAUAAUUUGGGAUGAAGUUGCCAUGACAAAGCGACAAGCCGUCGAGGCACUUGAUAGAACACUGCAAGAUACUACAGGUUGUAGAUCACCAUUUGGAGGAAAGACAAUAGUGUUUGGGGGUGAUUUCAUGCAAGUCCUCCCUGUGGUGAGGCAUGGCACUAGAGCACAAGUUGUUAAUGCCACUCUUAAAAAAAUCUUAUCUCUGGGAGGAUACACUACUAGGGAAAAGCCUAUACACAGAAUCUUAGCAGCAGCGCGGCUCAAAAAGGAGCGCUGCUGCUAA